ensembl:lncRNA
GGGAGAUGGAGGAGCGUGGAACAACCACCACAGCCCAGUACAGCCAAGUCCCUGGCGGCACUGCCAGGGCCCACCUGGCUGGCCUCGAGGGCAGAAGGGCGCGUUCCUUCCAGGAGCCAGGAGGUGACUAAGGAAGUCCCGGUGAGGAUGAGCAGGGAUCGAACUCAGGACCUUCUACUUGCCAGGCAGGCGCAGUGACACUGAGCUACAUCCCCAGGCCAAUUCUUCCAUUUUUAGAGGACAAGAACCCGGUGUAUCGUACCGCUAACAGGUUGGGAGAUAUAAUAUUUCAUAUUUCAUCUCCGGUAUUAUUUCCUGUAACAAUGAAACUCCAUAGCAACUUUCAUAGGUGGCAUGUAGUAGGCACCAGGCUGAAAAUCUAUGAAGCACAAGAAAAGUACAGAUUCCUCCCCAAACAUAGUGUGAACACACAGUCAGAAAAAGAGCAGGGCAGAAUAAAGAAAUCAUACCCCAGCUUCACACAGAGGCAGAUUGCUGUGUACCAUGCACAGUUCCACCAGUGAGAUUUUUCUUCAAUUUGGAUUGGGAGAACAUAAAUUUCCUGAGAAGUGGUAGGAAGGCCUUUCCUGGAAGGACAAUGAACAGUGUCUUCCCUCAUGAUCUCAAGAUGGCUACUGCAGCCCCAGUCCUCAAAGACAGAGUCCCAAAGAUCGAGAAGAGAGUAGAAGCUGUAGGACUUUCUACUGUUCUCUUUCAUCAGAGAUGAAAAUCCC